rnacentral:rRNA from 1 species
UACGUAGGGUGCAAGCGUUAAUCGGAAUUACUGGGCGUAAAGCGUGCGCAGGCGGCUCUGCAAGACAGAUGUGAAAUCCCCGGGCUCAACCUGGGAACUGCAUUUGUGACUGCACAGCUUGAGUGCGGCAGAGGGGGAUGGAAUUCCGCGUGUAGCAGUGAAAUGCGUAGAUAUGCGGAGGAACACCGAUGGCGAAGGCAAUCCCCUGGGCCUGCACUGACGCUCAUGCACGAAAGCGUGGGGAGCAAACAGG